AUAGGAAGUCUGAGACUGAAAUUAUUUUUGAAUAUAAGGAAGGUCAACUGCCCCAGCAUUUCAAAAAUGUUCUUCCCGUCUAAGUAGCUGGUGCCAAAUGCUGUCCUGGAAAUAACUUCUGAGGUGAACAACCUAAAUUCUUCGUACACCUCGAUCUCCUUGCCUUCAUGAUUUACCCACCUUUCUAGCAUUGUCUCAGAGCUAGUUAUCAUUUCUGGAAUCAUACUCUGGUAACACAAGAUCAUCAUGCAGUCAAUUAGCAAAUUUUACAUUCAAUAUAAUAAUAUGUCUAUAUAUAUAAACAAACUGUACAGAAGAACUUACUUUUAAGCUCUCUCCAUGGAAGGCAUGGUUGGCCAGCUUUCUUAACUUGACCCAUUUUUCACCUUCUGCCAUGGAAAUGCUGUCUCCUAAUAACUUCUUCACGUAGCCUUGGGACUUCUGUUUUCGGAAGAGUUUAUCUUUGUUGUUCAUGACCUCUUUGGACAACUCAGGUUCCGCAAUCACCAACUGAGGUUGAGUACCAUGCCAUUGAAGAAAAUUGGUCCCUGUUGCAACAAAAUCACUAAAUUUAAUUAUCUUUGAACAAAUUGAGAUUAUAAAAAAAAAAAAAAAACCAUAGUUAAUGAAGAGUUUGUAAGACGUACCAAAUAUCUUGGACCAUUUGUGAGUAUGAGGCUGGACUGCAGGGAAUAUGUCAUGUGAUAAACUUCUGGGCCUGCUCAUGGCUUCCUUUUUCAAGCUCAUGAUUUCUUUGGUGUUUCCAUGGAUAAGUCUGUAAAAAGGGCCUUUGACUCCCUGGAGAUCCAUGAAUUUCUGGAAGCGAUUUGGGGUCCACCAUUGCUUGUAAAAGAGCCUGAUGAGAGCUACAAGGAACACAAAUAGCAUGCUUGAAACAAUGAUUACUGGCAUUCCGAUUCCGAACCAACCCAUUUUUACUAGCUUCUUUCUUCUUCUUCGUUUGGGUAAAUCGGAUGUGCCAAAACCCAAGAGACAAUUCUAGCUUGUUUUUCUAGCUUGCAUGUCAGUUUGCUGUGUACUGCAUGUGACUCUCUUCAGUUUAUAUAGUAAAUGCUUGGGCGUAUUUCGUUGAAAUAAAAUAAAAUAAAAUCAGAUGGCAAUCUUUGAAUACUUGGGAGUGUUUCGUUGACAUGACGAGUGACCAUGUGGUUAUUGAAUUAUCAUGUAGCAGAGAAACCCACUGGCACUGCCUAAUAGUAUGAUCUAUACGUCAUUUGUUCACAUAAAAUAUUUGUCACGUCAGUUGAUAACCAAACUCUAGCCCAGUGGAAGGGCCUUGACUUGCUAAUGGGUGGUCUCAUGUUUGUACCUCAUGGGCAUUGUGAUAGUGUGUGUGAGAAAACCCUAUUGAUUCUCUGUAUUUUUUUAAUAGAAAUUCUGGUAUUGUAUUCAUAAUUAAGUCAAAAAAGUAACUAACAACAAAAUGACAAUUCAAACUAGUCACGAAGAGCCCCUCCCUUGUAAUUUAGAUAUCGCUUGCACUAAAAGAAAAUAAAAAAUGGAAGAGCUAGCGCUUAAAACUAAGCUUAUCACGAGCAGCAUGCCAGCGUCGCUACUUGAUAGGCGUAUAAUACGUUGACGUGUCUAGUAUUAUUGAAUUAGAAUCUAAUGUCUAUUUUUAAAUGGAAAAUGCUAGGGAGACCAACUUUAGAUACCAACUUGUGUACCAACUCUCUAAUAGAGUGUGAGACCCAUUGUAUUGGUGGGCUCCACCUCUAUUAGAGAGUUGGUACACAAGUUGGUAUCUAAAGUUGGUCUCCCUAGCAUCACCCAUUUUAAAUAUAUAAAAAACUGAUUAAGAUAUGAAUUGGUGGCGAAUUAUUCGCACCGCGAUUGAUAAUGAAUACCCAUAAAAUAAUUAAAAAUUCAAAUGGCUACCACGUACCAUUAACAUGGGAAUUAUGUUUAUUAUCAAAUCAUAAGUUAGCACGUUUAAAUUGUAGACUGCUGAAUGUUACAAGAAUUUAGGUGAGGGAGAAAAACAAUAAGAUCAUGAGCAAAAGAAGGAGAAACAGACACAGAAAGAUUCGAAUCAGUCACUACCGGCAUUCUGAGCCAACUCAUUUUUACUUGGCUGUUUAUGUGUUUCCAGAGUCUCCUAACUUUGACUAUUUAGACCCAUCAAUUUAUAAUGUUAACCAACAAUAUAUAGUCCUCUAUAGUGGAAUAUGCACGUUACAAUUGGAUUUUAUUUUUAUUUUUUUCGUUAGUACAAGCGAUACUAUAAACUAUAGGAAGAGAGAUUUCUCACACACACAACUAGAAAUUAAUUAAUUAAACCUGAUUACUCUGACAAAAAAAAAAAACAAACAUGAUUAAAUGAUUACCUCGUGGAAAUUAACUAUUAACUCUUACUUUGACUGUCAUUUAAAUAUGGGAGACUUUGGAAAAGCCCAAAGGAGAGAGAAAAUUUUUAAAAGAAGCCAAAAUAGACAAAAUUGCCCUUUUUUUUUUUUUGAUUUCCUAAGGAAUCCUUUACAUUUGCAUGUCUUUGGUUUGAAAGUUGAGAGGUUUUUCUGUCUUUUUUGAAAAAGCUUUGGCUUUUUCCAAAAGUGAAAGUUUUUUUAUGGGUAAAACCUAAAUUUACUUUUAAAUAUCUAUUAGGAACAGUCCCGAUCUCUUGGAUCACAGGAGUUCAAGAGAUUGUGGUCACCCACCGUUGGAUAUUAAUCUAAUGGUAUAAAAAAGUUUAUUAAAAUGUUUAUGGGUAAAACCUAAAUUUACUUUUAAAUAUCUAUUAGGAACAGUCCCGAUCUCUUGGAUCACAGGAGUUCAAGAGAUUGUGGUCACCCACCGUUGGAUAUUAAUCUAAUGGUAUAAAAAAGUUUAUUAAAAUGAGUGCAAGAGUGAGUGAACCGUUGAAUUUACAUCCAACGGUGAGUGAUCACAAAUUUCUUGGACCCCUGUGGUCCAAGAGAUUGUGGUCACCCACCGUUGGAUAUUAAUCUAAUGGUAUAAAAAAGUUUAUUAAAAUGAGUGCAAGAGUGAGUGAACCGUUGAAUUUACAUCCAACGGUGAGUGACCACAAAUUUCUUGGACCCUUGUGGUCUAAGAGAUCGGGACUACUCCCGAUCUCUUGGACCACAGGAGUCCAAGAGAUUGUGGUCACCCACCGUUGGAUAUUAAUCUAAUGGUAUAAAAAAGUUUAUUAAAAUGAGUGCAAGAGUGAGUGAACCGUUGAAUUUACAUCCAACGGUGAGUGACCACAAAUUUCUUGGACCCCUGUUAGGAAAUACAUAACAUACUAGGAAGUUGUCUUCGAGUUUGGCAAAAUCUAAAGAGUCCUGCUAUUCCCACCCCCUUAUCUUAUUUUCCCACCCACCUUAUCUUCAAAAUUUUAAAAGCAAAUUUACCCUAUUGUAAAAUGACUUUUAAGGACUUAACUCUAAGUUAACAUUAUUAAGUCAAGAAAAUAAAAGUCAAAAUAAAAACAGAAAAUUAGAAUAAAUAAAUAAAAACAGAAAAUUAGAAUAAAUAAAUAAAAGAGCCCAGAAAACAACCCUCAGACUACCCACCCAACCCCGUGACAACCAAGAUUGAUUGAUGUUAAGAAAUAGUUAAAUUGGAAACUUGGAGGAAUAAAGGGCCAUGAAGUUGCUGAUAUUGAUGAAGACUAGGGUGAGCGACUUUGGCAGGCAAUGCAGUCGAAGUGUCGUCUUAGAUCUGGGCCAAUUGAUGUAAUAUUUCUCGUGGUUUGAUUGAAAUGGAGAGAGGAGAAGAAUGUUAGAUUGGGGUUUGAAGGUGUUGUUCAAUACAACUGAAAUAAUGGUGAAAGAGACAUGAGGAGGAGGACGGAGGAAGGGAGGCUUGGCCCGAGGUGGAAGGUAUGGGUGGUUCUUGUUAAGGUUUGAUGGAGUGUGCGGUGGGUGGCUGCUGAAAACCUUUUAUUUUUUAUUUAAAUUUUUCGGACUCAAUCAAUAGUGUUAAGUUAGGGUUAAAAGUGUUAAGUGAAUAGAAGAGUAUUUUAGGAAUAAUGGUGGGUGCAAAGAUAGGAUUGUGAUUUUUCAAAUUUUCAUGGGGGGUGGGUGGGGAAAUAGGACAGGUGGGUGGAAAUAGCAACACUCAACAAGUGUGUGGAAAUAGCAGCACUCAAUCUAAAAUAAUUUCGCACAUGCCAACGAAAUUAAAUUAAAAAAAAAUUAUUUCUACUACCAGUCCUUGAGGUUUUCGGUGUUUUCAUAAAAUCCAUGAAGUUUAAAAAAUUACACGAACACCCUUUGAGGUUUUAAAUUAUUUUCACAAAAUUCCUUUCCAUUGAUUUUUCAUCCAAAAUUGAUGAUUUUAUAUAUAAAAAAAUUCUCCAAAUGAAAAAGUUAGUCUUUGAGAUUAGAUUGCAAAUACAUUCAUUCAAGUUAAUUUUGUCACUUGUAUAAGUUUUCUUUUAUAAAAUCAUAUUUUUUGGAUGAACAAUCAAUGAAAAAGGAUUUUGUGAAAAUAAUUAAUUUGAAACCCCGGGGGUAUUCAUAUUAUUUUUUAAACCUCAUGGAGUUUUGUGAAAACACCGAAAAUUUCAGGGAGUGUUAAUGUAAAUAACUAAAAAUAUAUAUAUAUUUCAAAACAAACUAUAGAGUAAAGUGUAGUCGUAGAGGAGUGAAGUUUGGUUUGAAGAACCUCCUGAUUUCAUUCAGCUAAACAUGAACCACUACUAGAAAAUCAGCCACUACCCACUGAUCUAGAUACAAAUUCAUAAAAGUAGCUUUUAAAUUUUUUUUGGAAACUAAUAAUCCCACGCCUAUUAAAGAUUUUUGAGAUAGACAUUAGUGUGUAAUACAAACUAGUUCCGCACUUGCGAGAGGUUUUUUUUUUUUUUUUUUAAAAUUAAAAUUUAUUUUAGAAUUAAAAAAAUAAGGGAGCUUUAGUUUUAAAACACAACAUAGUUUACUAAUUUGGAAGAUAGUAAUACAAUUUCAUCUAAUUCGCAUAAGGCAAAAGACCAAAUUGUGGUACCUAAUUUUACAAAAAUAUCAUUAAAACAUAUCAAAAUUACACAUAAUGCCACUCCUUCUAAGGCAAGCAUACUAUGCCACAUGUCCAUAUCUAGCCAAUCAUAUCUCGCCGCCGACCACCACUGCCGGAAUCCUGCCGCCGGCCACCACCGCCGGCCACCACCACCGGACUUCCGCCGCCGGACUCCCGCUGCCGGCCACUUGCCACCACCACCGUUGGCCGCCAUCGCCUGCCACCGUCUGUAGAUGACCAACUCUGUUGCCCUUUAUUCACCUUUUAAAAAAAAGAUUGUGUCAUUGAAUAGACUCGAACCUUGACCCUCAAAGGAGGAAGGCUCACUCACAAACCACUACACCAAACUUGAUUUUGUAAUAUUUAUUCAAUUAUACAAUAUUUAUAUAAACAAUCAAUGGUUUAUUAAAAAAAAUAAUAAUAAAAAGCAUUUCAACACUUAUUCACACAAAAACUGCAAAUAAAAACAGAAACUGCAACAAAAAUGUUAUGUUAAAAAAACAAAAACAAAAACGAAAACAGCUACAAAAACAAUUGUAAUUAAAUGAAAACUGCAAUGCAGUUUCCGGUUUUCAAAAGUCCAAUUUUGAGUUCUCUUGCUCUUAGGUAUUUCUACUCUUCUCUUGCCCACCUAAUUCCUCAUCUAGGUAGCUUCUACUCUUUAAAUUGGUGAGGUUGAAGACCAAGGAAAGAGCAAAAAUCCAAUUGUAAUUAAAUGAAAACUGUAAUGCAGUUUCCGAAACUACAAUGCAGUUUCCAAAAGUCCAAUUUUGAGUUCUCUUGCCCACCCAAUUCCUCAUCUGGGUAGCCUCUACUCUUCAAAUUGGUGAGAUUGAAGGCCAAGAAAAGAGCAAAAAUCCAAUUGUAAUUACAAAAACUGCAAUGCAGUUUCCAAAACUGCAAUGCAGUUUCCAAAACUGUAAUGUAGUUUCUGAAACUGCAAUGUAGUUUGUGCAAAACUAUAAUGCAGAACUUGUAUAAAAUUUUACUGAACUAAAGCUUAAAUGGUAUUGCAAAAUAUCAUAUGACAGUGAUGUCAUAAACAACAAGCAUCUCUAUCCUAAGAACCGCAAUAUGAUCUCAAGUUUCCAGGUCGAAAUGGAAAAUAUAGCUAGAAACAAAACAAAAUUGAAAUAUGCAUUGCUGCAAACUAAAUAAUUUAGAUAGCAAACUCCACAAGUACAAAGAGAAGGGAAUCAAAUCAACACUAGCUUAACAACUCAAUAACCAACAACCUAUGGAUUACGGGGCAAAACCUCCAAUGUAUCUCUACCAAGCAUAAAAAAAUCACAAAUAAAAGAUAUCAUGAAAAUGUAAAGUAAUUACUAGUCAAAACCCAGGCAUCAAAAUUCUGUAAACCAGUAAAGAAUCACUGGUGAAACCCACAAAUAAAUGAAGGUGUCAAAUAGCAGUAAACAUCUAGCAUGUAAUCAAAUAGAAGAUUUCAGAAUCAAAUGAGACAACACAGUCAAAGGGAUUACCAGGUAUGGAAAAAUUGAACACAGGAGGUAAAACUGCAGACUUCCAGGUAUAAGCAAAGUUGUUUGUGUUACCAGCCUACAGCAAUUUCAAAGUAAAAAAGAAAAAACAAAAACAAAAAAAUAAAAAACAAAAAAACAAAAAACAAAAACAAAACUUUCAAUAAGAACUUGAAAGUAAUAUUCAGACGUAUUUAUAGACAUGAAGGAGGGCAAUACAUGUGUGGUAAGUGAUAAUGCCACCAGGUUUUCAGAUGAAGAAAAGCUACCACUCUAAUACAUUCAUAAACGAACUCAAACACAACAAAGUAGCCACAGUUCAAAUCUCAAAACAACACCACCGAAAUUAAACAAAAAAAAUCUCAAGAAAAGCCCAUUUCCAAGUAAUUCAAUCACAUAAUAUAAAAACCAGAACACACCAGAUUCAAAAACAUCACAAUAAUUAGCAUAGGUUUUGAAUUACCGCAGGAGACGGAGAUCUAUUAGGCCGAGUCACCGAAAUAGCAGGAGGAGCCUUUGAGCUUUGCGAAUUCACCGGCAUCGAUCCUCCAAUUGCUUCUCCAUGGAUGGGAAAACGCCUUCUCCGCCAGCAAUCGUGACGCCAGGCCAGGACGAGCCGUCAUCAAUUGCUUCUCCGCUAGAAAAUAGAAACGCUUUCUCUGUCAUUGAUUGCUUCUCCGCCGGAAAACGAUGGAAGACGCCUUCUCCGCCGUCGAUCCUCUUCUUGCUUCUCUGCAGGAAAAGGCCUCCAAAGCUGGGCGUGAUAUGGCUCCCAUAUAAAAUAAAAGGGGUAAAAAUGUUAUUUCAAAUACAAAUUAAACAAGCUUAAAGAGCACAUGGGUAGGGCUAUUGGCUUUUAAAAAAAUAAAAUUUAAAACUCAUCCACUAUAUCUAAAACAAAAAUAGAUAAUGUAUCAUAUGCUAAUUACUAAAGUUUUUAAUGACUAUACACUAAUUUUUCUAAAAAAUAAUGAGUAGUAGUGUUCCAUAAAAAUAGGAUCCAUUAUCUGAUUUUAAUUUUAAUUUUAAUUUUUUUUAAAUAUGAAAAGUGUGAAUUUACUAUAUUAUCCUCAUUUAAUUAAUAAUUUCAAUUCUUAAUGUUUACAUUAACCAAAAGCAUUUUUUAAUAUUUUAAAUAUUUCACUAUUUUCUGUCUUUUGCUUUAUAUAUAUAGAUAAAGUAAUUUUCAUUUUUCCUCUUAAUAUUUGGGCCUCUUUUAUCAGUCCCCAACACUCCUAGGAAACUUAUAAAAAAGACAAAAAAAAAUUCAAUUACAAAUUGUAUGCCAUCUGACACAAACUCAGUCAAACUCAUUGGUGGGACUCUGUAAAAGAAUGGUUUGUUAAACUUCAAGGUUAAACCUCCGGGUAUAUUUUUUUUUCCCUAAGAAAACAAGAAAAUAAAUUCUAUGUGAUUCAUAGAUAAUUGGCCCACAGGUUGCUCAGUGAAAAUAAAUGGUUAUGGUGUCGAAAUGUAACCAUGUUUACGAAGCAUCUUGUAUACUUGGACAAAUCGUCAAAUAAGAAAAGGGCUAAAGUUAUAAAUAGGGAUGGUAAUGGGUCGGGGUAAGGGUUGGGUAUGAUAAUACUAUCCCUAUUCACGUUCUCCAUUUCCGCCUCAGUCCUUGAACCCAUCCCCGUUUAUUAGGUUUCGGGGAAUCCCCAUCCCCGUCCUCGUCGGGAAACUAUCCCCCAUACCCGCCCCGAAUCCUCGAUUUUUUUGCAUAAAAAAAUAUUUAUCAUAUAUUUUAACAUUAAGUUUCAUAUUAAAUUAUCAUUAACACGUCCAAAUUAACUAUAAAGUUCAACUCAACUAUUCAAAAUCACAUCAAUAUGAAAUUUCAUAGAAAAUUAGGAAGAGUUAGUAGAGGGAAGUAAACUUAAGGUUAAACAUAAAUAUUAUAAUUAUUUAUUUAUUUAUUUAAAUAUAAACAUAUAUAUUUUUUGGUCGGGUUUGGGGAUGGGGCGCCAAUACCAUCCCCUCCCUAUACCCGUCGGGGAUUUUUCAAGUUCAAGGAUCCCUGUACCCGAUACCCAUUUAGUCCCGAAAUCUCUCCCCGUUAAGGUCGGGGACCCGACGGGGACCCGCUCUACGGGAAUUUUUGUCAUCCCUAGUUAUAAAGGAGAUCAACUUGUAUGGGAAGAAAUCCAAACUUGGAAGGCAGAUGUCUGACAUUUGUAGAUCUGGGGUGGAAGAGUUGAUGAGAGGAGUAAAUGCAGUCCAACCAUUGGUUUCAAGAGGAGUAAUGGGAAGGCUUGGCUCUCUAAAGUUGACUCUAUGGGGAGUUUUUCUAGUCAUCUGUUAUCAACGCUCGGGCCAUUUCUCCCAUCAAGACAACAAACACUUUCUUUGUCCCUGGAGCCCACUCACAAACCAAGCUGUUUUUAGAAUUUUGCCUUCUCGAAAAUAAAAAGCUACCAGCCCACAAACAAAGACCACAAAGAAAUCCCUAUCCUUUGUUUUAUGCGUUGAAGACUGGUGGUACAAGAUGGCUGAAGCUCGAAAGGAAGAUCUGGUAAUAAGGUUGGAGGAAUCGCUGGGCAUAUCAAAUUUAGAGAGUGGGCCAAAACUGGCAGGAGCAAUCAUAGCAAGGAAAAUCCCAAACAGAGGAGCAAUAAAAACAAUCCUUCAGAAUGCGUGGGCUCUCUUCGGAGAAGCAAAAAUUUCUUAUAUUAAGGAUAAUCUUUUCACUGUGGUGGUUCAAGAUGAAGAUAUGACUGAUCAGAUUAUAAACGAAGGUCCCUGGUCUGUAAUGGGUUUCUAUUUCAAUGUUCAACGUUGGCCAAGCAACAUGGCCAUAAAGGAACUGCCACUUCACAAGGUGGCUUACUAGAUCCAAGCCCAUGGGAUCCCUUUGAAUUUACUCACUGCAGCAGUGGCGGAUCCAGAAAUUUUCAUUUUGGGGGUCAACGUAUAAAAGGUUAAAAAAAAAUUCUAUACAAAAUAAACUCAUCGAAAUGAAACGAUAAUAUUCUAAUUCAUAGUUAAUAGAUAAAACCAUGCAAAACACUCAUGUUCUUUAGAACUGCAUCAACUUCAAAAAAUAGAUACACAUUGCAAUAAACCAGAAAUAUCUCUAGUAAACCCAAAAAAACAAAAAAAACAAAAACAACAAAAACAACAACAACAACUUCUUCAUCUCAAAUCCUCAUCCUUCUCUUCUUGAUACACGAGUUUGUAAGACCUUCACAAGCUUAGCAUAGUCUUGAUUUCUCCUCUCUAGUGCUUGUAUAUGUCCGUUCGAUUGCUUGAGUUUCUCCUGCAAGUCAGCGAUCUCUGCCUUCAAGGUUGUGACUAAAGCAGUCAACGAGACACACUCUUGGUUCCUCUCUAGCAGAUGCAAUCCUACAUUUGCUGCCGAAGCAACACAGUGAGCACUAAAAUAAUUUGCCUCGUCCAUUGCAGUUUUGUCAAUAUUGAAGGACAAAGAUAAUUUUGGCUAAGUAUGAAAAAUGCUUUUUCUGAAUUAUCAUUUUCUGAAGAUAAUUUUUUGCGGCUUUCAUUUCCUACAUAUCAAAUAAAAAAUCUGAUUUUAUGAGAUUUUUAUAUGAAGUAUAUAUUGACUUAAUAAACAUUUAUUUUUAUUUCAAAUUGCAUGUUGAACUACAACCAAUUUUUCAUAUUGUGAUUUGGUUGGAAUUUGAUUUUCUAGUAUUUUUAUUUCAAUCCAAAUGGGGGUUACUUCAUUAUUUACAUUGUAAACUUAAGUAAAUGGAGUAAUAAAAAAGUAAAUGAAAGUAAAAGGACAAAGACGUUUACUUAAAUGUUGAAAAUUGAAAUAAGGCAAUUUGUACAACGUCGUUUUGGCCAGAUUAAAAUUUUUUUUAUUUAAAAAAACAAGCCUUUAGUAAAACGACGUCGUUUUGACGUCCAGCGAACAAACAAAUAUGAAGGCGCGCGCGUUUUGGCUGUGGUUUAAUGGGACGACGUCGUUUUGAUGUCGAGCUAACAAAAAAAAGAAGGCGCGCACUGCACUAUGUGCUUCUUCUCCUUCCUCUGCAUUGCGCGUGAUGUGCUUCUUCUUUGGGGCAUUUCGUCGAACACUUUGCGAGGGUCAACUUUAGCAAUUCUAAUGGAGGAUUUCAGAGGUUGUAGGGGUCAAUUGACCACCCUUGCUUCUCUGUGGAUCCGCCCCUGCACUGCAGGGAACAGUCUAGAGAUUGGUGAAAAGCUGGGAGAGGUAAAAGAAGUUGAAGACCCUUAGCAGAAAGGUUCAAGAGGCUUCUUAUGCAUGAGAGUUCUGAUUGAUUCCAACAAUCCCCUCCCUCAAGGAUUCUGGCUGCCUCGUGCUGAAAGACAGGGUAUAUGGGUGGAAUUCAAAUUUGAGUGACUGUCAGAUUUCUGUUUCAACUGUGGUAAGCUUGGUCAUCUUCAGAGGAAUUGCAGCUCCAGUAAUAGCCAAUCGAACAACUCUGAACUUACAGCCUAUGGUGAAUGGAUGAAAACCAGAGCAAUUCGUGAUAGUAAAGCUCCAAUCAACACACAAGCUCUGAGAGGAGUUCGGAAGAGGAGCUGCAUCCUUGCCAUACUGCUGACACAACGGAUCCUUCCGUAGCCAACUCAAGUCACAGAAGACGUAUGUUAGAAGCAAGAGGUAAAGAAGCUGCUUAUUCCUCAAAGUUAAAUACUAAAUUGCAAAUUUUCAACUGGAACUUAGAGGGUGUCAAGUUAGAGGUAAGGGCAAGAAAUGAUCGGGUUAUUUUAGUGGAGGAGAACUGCCCAAGCCAUUGGCUAUGGCCCACGGGGAGGGUGGGACCUAUUUCUUUUGAAGAAGGCCUAAAAUGGGCCAAGACUCAUAUUGCCUUUGGAAAGCAUUAUGUCACUAAUUGGGCCGCAACUGGACCUUUAGAGAGAAGGCAGAACGAGGAGAAUAUGGGUCUCACAAAUGAGAUAUCCAUUGAGCCAGUUUUUAAUAGCCCGUUUGACAUUAUUCCUGCCCUUGCGUAUCAGACCCACCAUAGAGAAGUUGAUGAGGCCUUUGUAAGGAUGGGUCUUAAAAGAGAUGCUGACCCAGAAUGGCAGAAGAAUAAAUGAGGUUAAAAGGGCAAAGCCUCAAAUGUGAGGCAAGUGUCAGAAAAAAUUCAAAAAAGGAAACACAGACUGCAUAGGAAGCUCUCAAGUCCAAAAAAACCAAAGAGUGCAGUGGAACCACGGAGGCUCUCUAUUGAUGUUUUCUUUGAGGAGGGCCUAACUGACAUCCAUGUUGGGGUGGCUGAUGAAAUUGGAGAGGGAAGGUCUCUGCAACGGGAGAAUGAAAAUAUUGAAUUGAGGAUUGGCAAUGGCGGCUGGCCAAAAAAAGCCACAAGAACGCCAUGAGUUAUUUGUCUUGGAAUUGUCAGGGGCUUGGGUCGGACCUGACAAUUCGAUCUCUAAGGGAGAUCAUAAAUAGAAACCGACCUGCUAUUGUGUUUCUCAUGGAAACAAAAGUGAAACACAAUAGGCUGAAGAAGUGCAGUCAAGACAUGGGUUUUUCUGAAAGCUUUUGUGUGGAAUCGCAUGGACAGGCUGGAGGUUUAGGGCUUUGGUGGGAUAAUAGCGUGGAGGUUCAGAUUCCAGAAUUUUCAAAAAAUUUAAUUGACACUGAGAUAAAGGAGAAAGGUGGGGAAAGAAGUUGGCGCAUUUCCUGGAUUUACGGUACUCCCUAUAAAGAAGAGAAAACUGAUUUCUGAAGUUAGAUUGGUAAUUGUCUUCACCCUGGAGUGAUCUUGUGGAUGUGCAUUGGGGAUUUUGGUGAAAUUAUCUGGGAAUUUGAAAAAAAAAAAAAAAAAGGGCAUGGCCUUUAAUCACAAAAGUAGAAGAUAUCUCCAGGAUUUUAUGAAUCAAAAGCAGUUAAUGGACAUGGGGUUCCAAGGGUAUGUGUAUACUUGGAAAAGGCGCAGAGCUAAAGGGGUGUUGAUCCAAGAGCGCCUUGAUAAAGGGCUGAUAAACUCUAACUGGCAGGAGGUUUGGCCAUGUUCUGUUGCAAUUCAUCUCCUAGAUGUGGGUUCUGACCAUUGUCCCAUUCUCAUUCUAAAUGAAGAAAGACAGGAAAAGGUCUCUCGUCCGUUCAAAUUUGAAGCUUACUGGGUUGCUGACCCAGAAUGUGGAGAAGUGAAGUGAUUCACAGGAGCUGGAACAUGAAUAAUUGGAAGGGUAUAGUGACAUGCUGGAGUAAAAAGCAAAGAAGGUGCAGAUACGAGUUAAGAAAGUGGAGCAGAGGAAAGUAUUCAAAUGCUAGGUUGAAAACUGAAAAGUUAACUAUUGAGCUUGAGUUGUUACAACAUGACUGGGAAGAAAAUGAGAGAAGAAUUGAGUAGAUAAAAAUUGAGCUAAAUGAGACAUGGGGGCAAGAAGAGAGUUUUUAGAAACAGAGGUCAAGGAUCCAAUGGUUGAAGGAAGGAGAUUUCAAUACUGCGUUCUUCCACCAUAGUACUCUCCAACGAAGAAGGAGAAACAGAGUGAGUAGGAUUAAAGGUGUGGAUGGGGUAUGGGGAGAAAAUGAUAGUCAGGUCCAAAAGGCUUUUGAAGACUAUUUCAAAAACCUAUUUUUUUGAUGGGGGAAAAAGAGAUUUGAGGGACAUUCUUUCUUUUAUAACACCGGUGAUUAUUGAAUAGAUGAAUAAUAGCUUGUGCAGUCCAGUGUCAGAUGAGGAGAUUAAGGAGGCUGUUUUCCAGUUUGGAGCAAGCAAGGUGCCGGGUCCUGAUGGUUUUUUCGGAAUAUUCUACCAUAAUUAUUGGGAAAUUAUUAGAGAGGAUUUGUGCAAGAUGGUUAAAGCCUUUUUCCAGGGAGAAUUUUCGGUGCAUUGCUUAAACAUGACAAAGAUUGCCUUAAUUCCUAAGGUCCCAAACCCAGAAGCUAUCACGCAAUUCCAGCCUAUAGCCUUAUGUAGCUUCACAUAUAAGAUCAUCUCAAAGAUUCUUGCUAAUCGCUUGAAGCCAAUGCUUGUAGAGAUCAUAUCCCUUCAACAGAGUGUCUUCAUCCCAGGAAGAUAGAUACAAGACAAUAUUCUGUUAGCUCAUGAGGCUUUUCAUGCUUUGAAGCUCCGGAAAAAGACCAAAGUUUAUGAGAUGGGACUCAAAUUAGACAUGAAUAAGGCCUACGACAGAAUUGAAUGGGAUUUUUAAAAAGAAUUGCUGCUAAAAAUAGGGUUUGAUCAAACGUGGGUGUGCCUGGUUAUGAGGUGUAUCACGUCGGUCCGCUUCACAGUGCUCUUAAAUGGCAAGUCCGGGAACCCUUUCAAGCAGUCCAAGGGUAUUAGAUAGGGAGACCCUAUUUCCCUAUAUAUUUUCAUCUAGGUCAGUGAUGUUCUAUCAGUCAUGCUGAACAAAGUAGUGGAGAGGGGUAUUGCGCCAGGGAUCAGAUUCAGUCGUGACGGUCCUACAUUAUCCCAUUUAUUCUUUGCAGAUGACUCUAUUCUGUUCCUAAAGGCUACUGAACGAAAUUGCAAUGCCAUUGCAAGUAUAUUGAAUUCUUAUAGUCAUGCCUCGGGGCAGGUGGUAAGUUUUGAAAAAUCAAGUGUUUAUUUCAGUCCUAAUACUCCUCAGUAGUUCAGGGAGACUGUAGGGCACAUAAUGCAUGUCAAUAUAACUGAAAACCCAGGGAAGUAUUUGGGACUUCUAAUGAUGCGGGAGCGUGAGGUGAUGAAUUUUGUGAAAGAAAGAAUGAUGAGCAAAGUGGAGGGCUGGAAGCAAAAACUGCUCACUGAGGCAGGCCGUGAAAUCCUUAUUAAAGCUGUGGCCCAAGCGAUUCCCACCUACCCCAUGUUUGUGUUCCUUUUCCCAGGAGGUCUUUGUAGAGAGUUGGAUGAGAUCCUAGCUAAAUUCUGGUGGGGAGGGAAUGAAGAAAAAUAUAAAAUCCACUAGAUUAGCUGGGUGGAGCUAGGAAUGCCCAAACUAGAGGGUGGCAUGGGUUUCCGGAACCUUCAUGAUUUCAACCUUGCAUUACUUGCUAAACAAAGCUGGAGAUUGCUUACAGAGCAAAAUUCUUUUUGGGCUUUGAUUAUGAAGAGCAGAUACUUCCCUUCUUGUAAUUUCCUUAAAGCUAGCAAAGGGGCUUGUGCUUCUUGGGCGUGGGCAAGCAUGCUAGAGGGCAGAGAAGUGAUCAUUAGGGGUUCUCAAUGGAAAAUUUUAAAUGGAACCAGAGUUAAGCUAUGGAUUGAUAAAUGGUUUCCUGUGUCGCUAGACGAUAUGCUCCAUCCUAUUAAUGAUGAGUUAGUAGACGAGAAUGCUUUUGUGUCUGAAAUUAUUAACCCCAUCACAAAGAGUUGGGACUUAUCAAAUCUUAAUGGUAGAAUCUCGGAUCAGGAUGCUUGAAGGAUAAAAAGCCAUGCUUGUAUGAGGAGGUUGCGAAUCUGAUCGGUUGGUUUGGCCCUUCAAUGUGUCUGGUUGCUACUCUGUUAAAACUGGGUAUAACUUGAUUCAUCCUAGCUACCAUCCAAAUCAUAGGCACAUGCAUGCCUCGAGGUCUCACUAUGUUUCUAAGAAGGUGUGGAAGCAAAUUUGGUGUUCCCCACUAACUCCAAAAAUAAAAAACUUUAUGUGGCGUGCGGUUAAAGGUUGCCUCCCCACAAAGGCUCUUCUCUUCCGUAAGCAUUUGGGAUCCUCCCCUUUGUGCCCAGUCUGUGAAAAAGAGCCGGAAACUAUCGAGCACUUAUUGCUAUACUGUAUUUGGACUUUCAAUGUCUGGUUUGGAAGCUUGCUAUGUUAUCGAGUUGAUAUACAAAGCAUCACCACCUUUGACGAGUGGCUGCUCGGUGCGACUAGUAAGUUGGACAAGACAAAUUCUAAUUGGGUGUUGGUUCAUAUCAGUUUUAUAUGCUGGAGUAUAUGGAGAAGCAAAUGUGCUUUUGUUUUUGAAGGAAAAAAUGUUUGCCCAAAACAAACGAUUGAUUGGGGUAAACUUCUAGCUUUAGAGUUAAUGGAGGUUGCUGAUCUUAAUGGUCAUGGUGCGGAGGAGCCUACUUUGCAGGUGGUUGAUACAAUCCAGAGAUGGCUCCCUCCCCCCCAAGCUACUCUUAAGCUAAAUGUGGAUGCGACCUGGGACAAGAAGACUUUAAUUGCUGGUUUAGUGACGCAGCACAAGCAACAAAGGUUUCAAGCGAAACCGUGAGUAACAAUAAAACUGGAUUCCACCAGAAAAUUAAGAGAAGCUCUCUUGGAAUAAUAUGAUUAAAAGUUGAGUUCCAGAUACAUUAGACAAACCUGUCUAAAUACACAUUUCUCAACAACCCUCAACCCUUCAACUACUAGGGGAGUUAUUACAUAAAACUGAAAAAAACAGGAUUAAUUUGGAGUCUUAAUAACGUAACUCCUAAACUGUCCAAAACAGAAUUUAUUGAAAAAUUAACUACCAAACUUUAACUGCAGUUUUGGAAGGCCAAACGAACUCAGAAUGCCAAAAUCCACCUUAUGUCACAGCUAAGCAGUGAGUUACACUCGUGGCUUCGUUCCCUUUCCGAAAAGGUAUUUUGCGUCCUAAUCGGAGCUUGGACGACAAAACUGCAUAUUCCCGCUACGUCCUUUUUCUAGCUCAACCGCGAUAAAAUCUGCCAUCUGUUCUACAUCAUUUAAGGGCUGUCAUUCGUGAUGAGCAUGGUAAUUUCGUAAGGGGAGCUGGAAAGGUUAGACUGGCCACUUCUCCUAUUGAAGCUGAAGCCCAAGCAGCAUUAUAUGGUCUGGUGGUAGCCUCGGAUUUGGGUAAUGUUCAUCUAGAGUGUGAGUCUGAUUCAAGGGAGCUGAUUCUUAGCGUUAAAGGGAAUAUUCAGAAAGGUAGAUGGACAAUCUACCCAAUUCUUGCUGCUUUGAAGGAGAAGUGCAGAAUUUUUGGCUCUUGCUCCUGGAAGUGGAUCCCAAGGAAAGCAAACAAAGCAGCAGAUGCUGCAGCUAUUGAAGCGAAGAGGAAGAUGUGUGAUGAGGUCUGGAUCAGCCGACCCCCAUCCUCCCUGGUGUUCGUGCUCCAAAGCGAUGGCCUCCCACGUCCUCCACAGGUGUAAGGUUUUUGUCUAGUCAGGAUCUGACGCUCGCCUUCUGGAUGGCGUCCUAGUUGUUAUUGUCCUAGCUGGAGUUUUUGUUGUGUUUUCAUUGGGUUGGUCUAGUUUGGGUGGUUUCUCUUCGUACUGUGAAGAGUUGCUCGGGAGUUUGUAGUUUUUGCUCCUGAUGUGUUUUGGCAGUGUUGCUGUUUUUAGUUUGGGCUGUUUGAUUGGCUGUUUGUUGGGUUGGUUUGUCCCUUUUCCCUUUCAAUGAAAGUGUGAUUCGACCCAAAAAAAAGAAAAAAGAAAAAUUGAAAGCAACAGUAGGUAGGCAAGCUAUUUGAAAGGAAAUAUAUAUAAAACAGAGUUAGUUAUACUCCUUUUGAGACGUACUAUACUUGAGGGAGAAGAAUUAAUUCUUUGAAAUUUUAUAUCUUCCCUUCCAUUAUAGCAGAAUUAGAGACUAAUAUCAACGUGAUUAACGUCAACUGUAUGUAUCAACUUGUUAAAUUGUCUCGUGAUAUAGUUAAAUUGUUAAAUUGUAUCAAAAAGUUCAUAUCAAAUGUUUAUAGCUAAUAAAAUAGGAGGGUUGUUAUUUUAACCCCGUGUCCUAUUUCUCCACCCAUCUUAUCUUUCUAAAGUACCCUUGAAUUAUGGUAAUCGUUUUUGCUUUUUAUUUUUAUGAUGACACAAAACCCUUUUAAUAAAAUUGAAAUAAAAAAAACAAACUAAUAAUUAAAGAGAAACAAAAACCCAACAGCCACCACAGCCCCACCCUGUGCCCACCCAAUUUGGUCAGCCACCCCACCCUGCCGGCGGCUGCUCCUCCUUACCCACCUUCUUUGCAGCCAACAAAACAUCUGUAUCCAAAUAGACACACGGUUCACAGUGAGUGUAGAAUGACUGGAACUCCACGCUGUGGACGAACUGUCAUAAACUGAAUGGGUGAGUGGACAUAACCAGGGGAAAGGGUGAAGCUGUAGCGCUGUAGAAUCAUUGCCAGAGCAAUCUUGGAUUCUACGAUUGCGAAGUUCAUGCCCACACAAGUUCGUGAUCCCAAUCCGAAGGGUAUGAACGCGACCAUGUUGUUGUUAGUAGCUUUAGCAACACCUUCUGAGAAUCUCUCUGGUUUGAAAACGUUCACGUCUUCUCCCCAGUAUUUGGGAUCAUGAUGAAGUGAUAGAUUUGGGACGUGCACUUCAACAUUAGCCGGAACAACCAUCUUUCCCAGCCUUACUUCCUUGUCUGUUUCCCUAACAAGGGAAACAACUGGAGGAUAUAGCCUUAGAGAUUCAUUCAGGAUCAUACUCAUCUGCACAUGCAUCCAAAUGAAAAAUUAGAUGGCAAUAAAUGAAAUGAGGAUUUCAAAACUAAACCACUGAUUAGAUACAUAAGCUAGCAAUUAACUGAUUGAGUUUCUUACCGUUUUUAGUUUGUUGAGGCCAUCAGGGUUUGGAUUUUCUUUUCCAAAUAACUGUAGGACCUCCUUUCUUGCUUCCUCUUGCCAAUCCGUAUCGAGUGCCAGAAGAAAGAUGGUCCAAGCAAGCAAAGAAUUAGUGGUUUCUUGUCCAGCAAAGUAAAACGUUUUGCAUUCAUCAACGAUGUCAUCCACCGAAAUCCUCUGGUUUUCAUUGGUAUCAUGAUGAGCCUUCAAAAGUACUCCAAGAAAAUCACGCCCAAACCCGUCUGCUUCUCCAGUCAUUGCCAUACUUUCUCUUUUCCUAACAAUCCCUGCUAUGGUGUUGCGUAUUCCUUUCUCAAGCUUCUCUGACUUGAUCUCAUCACUGGUUUUGUAAAACCGACUGCAAAUUUGAACAAAAGACUAAAGAUGAGAAGUGACAAUUCCAACACUAUUGUUGUGAACAGAAAAUAUUCCACAGCUAACAUAACCUUAUUGAUUCUUUACGAUCAUUUAGAGCAUCCGCAAUAGUUGUUCAAUUGUUCAAUUUAUUGAACUAUGUUGACAUCUAUGGAAUGGAACUGCAAUUUUACUUGUAAUGGUACAGUUCAAUAACUUCAGUUUACUGGCACGUGAGUCCCAUAGUUAGACUAUCAAUUCAAUAGAGGGUUCAUCACACAGCACCCUCUAUUGCAAGUGAAAUUUUACUGUUUUAUUUCAAUUUCAUACAAUAAAAUUGUAUUGAUCCUAACUAUUGCAGAUGCUAUUAGUUAAAAGAAGCUACCUGAUGAUAGGAAGUCUGAGACUGAAAUUAUUUUUGAAUAUAAGGAAGGUCAACUGCCCCAGCAUUUCAAAAAUGUUCUUCCCAUCUAAGUAGCUGGUGCCAAAUGCUGUCCUGGAAAUUACUUCUGAGGUGAACAACCUAAAUUCUUCAUACACCUCGAUCUCCUUGCCUUCAUGAUUUACCCACCUUUCUAGCAUUGUCUCGGAGCUAGUUAUCAUUUCAGGAAUCAUACCCUGUUAACACAACACCAUCAUACAGUCAGUUAACAAGUUU
rnacentral:lncRNA from 1 species